AUGAAAUUGGAAAAAAAAGACAAACCUUUCAUAGAUCUACACAAAGAUGUUUAUAUGCACAAGAUAAAUCUAAAAAAAGACAAACCUUUCAUAGAUCUACACAAAGAUGUUUAUAUGCACAAGAUAAAUCUUAUUAUUUAUCAUGCUGGUACAAUUAGCAAGGCAGGACAAUUACAAGUGAGAAUCUGCAAAAUAUUAAAAUACUAG